UACGUAGGGAGCAAGCGUUGUCCGGAAUCAUUGGGCGUAAAGCGCGCGUAGGUGGCUUCGUAAGUCCGUUGUGAAAGUCAAAGGCUCAACCUUUGAAAGCCGAUGGAUACGGCGGAGCUAGAGUACGGAAGAGGCGAGUGGAAUUCCUGGUGUAGCGGUGGAAUGCGCAGAUAUCAGGAGGAACACCAAUGGCGAAGGCAGCGCGCUGGGACGUUACUGACACUGAGGCGCGAAAGCGUGGGGAGCAAACAGG
rnacentral:rRNA from 1 species